rnacentral:rRNA from 1 species
GUGAACGCUGGCGGUAGGCCUAACACAUGCAAGUCGAACGGCAGCACAGUAAGAGCUUGCUCUUACGGGUGGCGAGUGGCGGACGGGUGAGGAAUACAUCGGAAUCUACUUUUUCGUGGGGGAUAACGUAGGGAAACUUACGCUAAUACCGCAUACGACCUACGGGUGAAAGCAGGGGAUCUUCGGACCUUGCGCGAUUGAAUGAGCCGAUGUCGGAUUAGCUAGUUGGCGGGGUAAAGGCCCACCAAGGCGACGAUCCGUAGCUGGUCUGAGAGGAUGAUCAGCCACACUGGAACUGAGACACGGUCCAGACUCCUACGGGAGGCAGCAGUGGGGAAUAUUGGACAAAGGGCGCGAGCCUGAUCCAGCCAUACCGCGUGGGUGAAGAAGGCCUUCGGGUUGUAAAGCCCUUUUGUUGGGAAAGAAAAGCAGCAGGUUAAUACCCCGCUGUUCUGACGGUACCCAAAGAAUAAGCACCGGCUAACUUCGUG